GCGCAAGUCGCCAUGUGACCAGAGAACAAAGAAGAACAUUCCAGACGGCGCACCGAAAAGAGAAGGGCAUUAUACCACCAACGCGGAGUCAAAACCAAGAACUAUAAUCAUGAGAAAAAAGAGAGCACUCCAGAAAUGAGAAUGUGGAAUCAUGGCCAAAGCUUGUGGGUAUACAAUAAACACAAGACCUGGACCUGAUUCUGCUACAGCAUCCAUUGUAAUGUUCUGAGAGAUGGGAAGUUUCAAAAUGACUAUUAUAAUGCUUACAUCACCAUCCAGUGUUACACCACGAACUAAUACAACGAGAAGCAUGACCAAUGGUAAUGUGGCCGUGACAUACACAACCUAUAAGACAUAGAUUUGUGGGGAACUGUUAAUAAAUAGGGAACAGAACUCUUCAGAACAAGUUCUAAAUCAUCAGAACCAGAUUCAACAAGAGUUGUAACAUUUUGAGCCGUCAAAUUGACACUUGUUUGAACCAACUCUACACAGUUGUCAGUGUUCCAUGUAUUACUACAGGUGGUCCAUGGAAGAACAGAAGAGAAGCUAGAAAAGAAGUAAUGGCAUGCCCAGGCAAGCACUACUCCAUACACACUGUUGGAAUACCAGGUGAUCAUAAGGAAUCAUUGACCAAGCUUUGGUCAUUCCCUGACCAACAUAUUGACCAAAUGAAGCUUCCAGGAAAAAAAGAGGGAAACCGAUCACAAUCACAGAUAAAAUGUAUGGGAUCAGAAAUACACCUGAAGAAAUCAACAAUUAAUAGCCUGCAGUUCAGCAAGAAUUAUUCAGCUAUUUGGGCAUCAGAUCACGGUAAGGAAAUCUCCAUAUGUUUCCAAGACCAAUUGUCAUACCCGCGAUACUAAGAAAAAAGUCAAAUCUCCUGCCCCAGGUUUGUCUCACCCCCAUGUUUAAUAUUUAAAAAUCCAACAAAAUCUCUGAAUGUUUGGACUGAAAACCAACUGAACUCUAGGCAAGAGACAAAAUACUCUCUAUAUAUCGAGUAUCAGACCUGGUGCUAUGUUUUAAUGUGACAGAUUACAUCCAGUUAUUCAGGAAGGUAACGCAAUCGAUCAUUAGUAACUAUGUCAUUACUUUUCCUACUUUUUAGGUAUUGUACAUUAAUCCUCAUGUUACAAGUAUCUGACAUUUCCUCUCUAGUUUGCAAGUAUCAAAUUCCACAUAGACAAAGAUUCACCUGUUUUAUUUAGUAACUCCAUUAAAAAACAUUUGCAAUACAAAAUGCAGUGAAUAAAAUCAAGGGU